AUGGAAGCAACGGCGGUGAGCGUGGGCAAGGCCGUGCUGAAUGGAGCACUGGGCUAUGCCAAGUCCAAGGCCACGGAGGACGCCUUGCAGCUCGGCAUCGAGCGCGAUGUGACCUUUAUCACGGAUGAACUGCAGAUGAUGCAGUCAUUCCUGAUGACGGCCGACGAGGAGCAAGGGCAACACAAGGUACUCAUUACCUGGGUGCAGCAGGUCCGCGACCUGGCCUACAAGGUGGAGGACAACCUCAUGGAUUUCGGCCUCCACACGGAGAAGAAGCCUAUCUGGGGAUGCAUCCCCCGUGAGCUAUGUGAUCGACGCCACAUCGCCAUGGAAGUGAGGGAUCUAAGGGCAAAGGUUGAGGACGUCAGCAACAGAAACCUGCGGUACCGCCUCAUCAAGGAAGGUUUGUCUGGCUGCAAGCCUGCUGCCGCUGCAGAAGAGCAGGCCAACCUUGCCUGCACGGCAAUGUUUGGCAUCAACGAAGCAAGGCUUGCCGCCAUUGAGGAGGGAAAACCCAAGGUGGAUCUCCAUCAGCUGGUCACCUGCGGACAGGAGGAUCUCGGCGUCAUCGCUAUCAGGAAGGUCUAUGAGAACAAACAAGUGUUUGACAAGUUUGGAUGCCGUGCUUGGGUUAGGCUGAUGCAUCCUUUCGACCCGAAAGAUUUCCUUCACAGCCUUGUGAGGCAGUUCUAUGAAAAUUCUCCAGAGGAAAUCGGAAAGUUACAAGAAGGAGCAACUGUAGGGGGUAAUGUCCUGAUGAAGAUGGAGAAUAUGGGACAAAGUGAUUUGAUUCGUGUGUUCAAUGCUCAAGUUAGUCACAACCGAUACCUGGUUGUGAUUGAUGACUUAUCCACUAUUGUCGAAUGGGAUUGCAUCAAUAGUUUCUUCCCAAGAAAUAGGAGAGGUAACAGAAUCAUACUCUCAGCGCGCCAAGCAGAAAUUGCGAGUUUGUGCCCGGACCAACCCCUCCAAGUAACAGAGCUUAAGCAGCUGUCAUCAGAUCAAGCACUUUAUCUGUUCCACCAGGAGGUAAUACUUCAUCAAGUGACCAGUAUACACUCUUUCUUAUCAAUUCAUGUUUUAUGCAAAAUGGUUGCUUAUGUUGCAGAGACCGGUUCAGGCACGGAAAAAGUUAUCGCCACUGAAAACAACCAAGCAAAGUCCACAAGUGAAAUAGAUGAGGAAAGUCAAUGGCCAAAGAGUGCCGCUGGAGAAACAGUUAAUGAUUCUGCUCCGGUAAAGAUGUUUGAUCGCAGCAUCACAAACACACUGAUUGAGGAAGUGUUCUUUGGGCGGGAAGCAGAGCAAGAUUAUUUUACCAAUUUAGUUGGUGGACCAGAACAAAAUCAAGAAACUAAGGUGAUCUCAGUGUGGGGAAUGGGAGGUCUUGGGAAGACCACUCUCGUUCGAAACACGUACCGAAGCCAACAACUUGGUGGCUGGAAGCGUGCUUGGGUCACUGCACUGCGCCCGUUCAACCCAGAAGUGCUCAUCAGAAGUUUAGCUUUGCAACUACCGAGUGAUGUGCUAGAAGAUCCGUAUGGAGCAGGAAAACAAAAGGACAUGGCAUCAAUGGGACUUCACGAUCUAGUGAAAGAAUUACAUCGCGUUCUAAAUAAAGAGUUCCUCAUUGUUCUUGAUGAUAUAUCAACCACUGCAGAAUGGGAUUUGGUCAGAAGUUGCUUGAAAAAUGCCGGAAUGGUCAUAGUCACCACAAGGGAGAAAACUGUUGCCAAACAUUGUUCAAGAGAAGACACCAACAUGUAUCGUCUUGAAGGUCUGAAAGAUGCGGCUGCACUUGAUCUCUUCAAAAAGAAGAGAGGAAAGGUUGAUUUGGUCCUUGAUAUGGAAGAACAGGCAAGACUUAUCUUAAAGAAGUGUAAUGGUCUUCCCCUUGCAAUAUCAACUAUAGGUGGAUUCCUAGCCACUAAGCCUAAAACUGCUAUUGAAUGGAGGAAGAUGCAUUACCGCAUUAGUGCUGAGUUGGAGAUAAAUCCAGAGCUUAGGACUAUAAAGACGGUACUUAUGAGGAGCUAUGAUGGCUUACCCUCUACCACCUCAAGUCAUGUUUCUUGUACAUGUCCAUAUUCCCGGAAGACUGCAUAA
rnacentral:rRNA from 1 species